rnacentral:rRNA from 1 species
AGAGUUUGAUCAUGGCUCAGAACGAACGCUGGCGGCGUGCUUAACACAUGCAAGUCGAACGCGAAAGCUUUCUUCGGAAAGCGAGUAGAGUGGCGCACGGGUGAGUAACGCGUAAGUAAUCUACCCUGGCAUCUGGGAUAACCCACCGAAAGGUGUGCUAAUACCGGAUACGUUGGAAACAAGAAAGGUGGCCUCUAUUUAUAAGCUACUGUGCUGGGAGGAGCUUGCGUACCAUUAGCUAGUUGGUAGGGUAAUGGCCUACCAAGGCAACGAUGGUUAGCGGGUCUGAGAGGAUGAUCCGCCACACUGGAACUGGAACACGGACCAGACUCCUACGGGAGGCAGCAGUGAGGAAUAUUGCGCAAUGGGGGCAACCCUGACGCAGCGACGCCGCGUGGAUGAUGAAGGCCUUCGGGUCGUAAAAUCCUGUCAGAUGGAAAGAAAUGCACAUAUGCUAAUAUCAUUUGUGUUUGACGGUACCAUCAAAGGAAGCACCGGCUAACUCCGUGCCAGCAGCCGCGGUAAUACGGAGGGUGCAAGCGUUGUUCGGAAUUACUGGGCGUAAAGCGCGCGUAGGCGGCCAAUUAAGUCAGAUGUGAAAGUCCACGGCUCAACCGUGGAAGUGCAUUUGAAACUGGCUGGCUUGAGUACUGGAGGGGGUGGUGGAAUUCCCGGUGUAGAGGUGAAAUUCGUAGAUAUCGGGAGGAAUACCGGUGGCGAAGGCGACCACCUGGCCCAGAUACUGACGCUGAGGUGCGAAAGCGUGGGGAGCAAACAGGAUUAGAUACCCUGGUAGUCCACGCCGUAAACGAUGUCAACUAGUGUUGGGGAGGUUAAUCUUCUCAUUGCCGUAGCUAACGCAUUAAGUUGACCGCCUGGGGAGUACGGUCGCAGAUUAAAACUCAAAUGAAUUGACGG